rnacentral:misc_RNA from 1 species
AGUCGUAACAAGGUUUCCGUAGGUGAACCUGCGGAAGGAUCAUUAACGAAGAGUUGGUUGUUAGGGGUUGUUAGGUGGUAGAUUUGAUGUCUGGAUUUGGAAACAAUUGAUAUCCAGAUAAUAUCCGAAUAUCAAAUCUGGCUAUCAAAUCCAGACAUCAAAUCUAUACCAUAUCCCUUUUCCUAACAUAUCACAAGUGCUUUUAGUAUCGAAUAGAUACUAAUGCGCGAAACAAAAAAUAUAUAUGUAUAUAUGUGUAUCCGUGUGUGUAUAUAUAUGUAUCGUGUAUAUAUGUAUCAUCAUGUAUCCGUGUAUAUCUAUAUAUAUAUAUAUAUAUAUAAUCAUUAUUAUUAUCGUUAUCAUUAUCAAUACAAUUAACUAAACAAACAAACAACUUUUAACAAUGGAUCUCUAGGCUCUU